rnacentral:rRNA from 1 species
AUGGGAACGCGAAGAACCUUACCUAGACUUGACAUCUCCUGAAUAGUGUAGAGAUACAUGAAGCCCUUCGGGGCAGGAAGACAGGUGGUGCAUGGUUGUCGUCAGCUCGUGUCGUGAGAUGUUGGGUUAAGUCCCGCAACGAGCGCAACCCUUAUUACUAGUUGCUACCAUUAAGUUGAGCACUCUAGUGAGACUGCCCGGGGUUAACCGGGAGGAAGGCGGGGGAUGACGUCAAAUCAUCAUGCCCCUUAUGUCUAGGGCAACACACGUGCUACAAUGGUGAGUACAGAUAGAUGCGAUACCGCAAGGUGGAGCCAAACUCUAAAACUCAUCCCAGUUCGGAUUGUAGGCUGAAACUCGCCUACAUGAAGCUGGAGUUGCUAGUAAUCGCGAAUCAGAAUGUCGCGGUGAAUACGUUCCCGGGUCUUGUACACACCG